AGCCUGAUGCAGCGACGCCGCGUGAGGGAUGACGGCCUUCGGGUUGUAAACCUCUUUCAAUAGGGACGAAGCGCAAGUGACGGUACCUAUAGAAGAAGGACCGGCCAACUACGUGCCAGCAGCCGCGGUAAUACGUAGGGUCCGAGCGUUGUCCGGAAUUACUGGGCGUAAAGAGCUCGUAGGUGGUUUGUCGCGUUGUUCGUGAAAACUCACAGCUCAACUGUGGGCGUGCGGGCGAUACGGGCAGACUAGAGUACUGCAGGGGAGACUGGAAUUCCUGGUGUAGCGGUGGAAUGCGCAGAUAUCAGGAGGAACACCGGUGGCGAAGGCGGGUCUCUGGGCAGUAACUGACGCUGAGGAGCGAAAGCGUGGGGAGCGAACAGGAUUAGAUACCCUGGUAGUCCACGCCGUAAACGGUGGGUACUAGGUGUGGGUUUCCUUCCUUGGGAUCCGUGCCGUAGCUAACGCAUUAAGUACCCCGCCUGGGGAGUACGGCCGCAAGGCUAAAACUCAAAGAAAUUGACGGGGGCCCGCACAAGCGGCGGAGCAUGUGGAUUAAUUCGAUGCAACGCGAAGAACCUUACCUGGGUUUGACAUGCACAGGACGCCGGCAGAGAUGUCGGUUCCCUUGUGG
rnacentral:rRNA from 1 species